rnacentral:rRNA from 1 species
GAGUUUGAUCAUGGCUCAGGAUGAACGCUGGCGGCGUGCCUAACACAUGCAAGUCGAACGUGAGGGGUGACAAUUUCGGAUGAUUGCCCUGAAAGUGGCGAACGGGUGAGUAACACGUAGAAACCUGCCUUGAAGCGGGGGAUAACCAUUGGAAACGGUGGCUAAUACCGCAUGCAUCCACAGCAACGGGAGUGGGGUGGAUAAAGUUGAGGCGCUUUAAGAGGGGUCUGCGUCCGAUUAGCUAGUUGGUGAGGUAAAGGCUCACCAAGGCUGAGAUCGGUAGCUGGUCUGAGAGGACGAUCAGCCACACGGGAACUGAGACACGGUCCCGACUCCUACGGGGGGCAGCAGUGAGGAAUAUUGCACAAUGGGGGGAACCCUGAUGCAGCAACGCCGCGUGAAGGAUGAAGGCCUUGGAGUUGUAAACUUCUUUUAUCGGGGAAGAGGAAGGACGGUACCCGGUGAAUAAGUCACGGCUAACUACGUGCCAGCAGCCGCGGUAAUACGUAGGUGGCGAGCGUUAUCCGGAAUUACUGGGCGUAAAGGGCGCGCAGGCGGCUGUUUAAGUCUGACGUGAAAGCUCCUGGCUUAACUGGGAGAGGACGUUGGAGACUGAAUGGCUUGAGGCAAUGAGAGGGGUGCGGAAUUCCCGGUGUAGUGGUGGAAUGCGUAGAUAUCGGGAGGAACACCAGUGGCGAAAGCGGCAUCCUGGCAUUGACCUGACGCUCAUGUGCGAAAGCGUGGGUAGCGAACGGGAUUAGAUACCCCGGCAGUCCACGCUGUAAACGAUGAGCACUAGGUGUGGGUGGUGUCAAAACUAUCUGUGCCGAAGCAAACGCGAUAAGUGCUCCGCCUGGGGAGUACGGCCGCAAGGCUAAACUCAAAGGAUUGACGGGGGCCCGCACAGCAGCGGAGCGUGUGGUUUAAUUCGAUGCACGCGAGACUUACCUGGGCUUGACAUGCACUAGUAGUGAGCGAAAGCGGACGACCUUCGGGGAGCGUGCACAGGUGCUGCAUGGCUGUCGUCAGCUCGUGU